GACGAACGCUGGCGGCGUGCUUAACACAUGCAAGUCGAGCGGAAAGGCCCUGCUUUUGUGGGGUGCUCGAGUGGCGAACGGGUGAGUAACACGUGAGUAACCUGCCCUUGACUUUGGGAUAACUUCAGGAAACUGGGGCUAAUACCGGAUAGGAGCUCCUGCUGCAUGGUGGGGGUUGGAAAGUUUCGGCGGUUGGGGAUGGACUCGCGGCUCAUCAGCUUGUUGGUGGGGUAGUGGCUUACCAAGGCUUUGACGGGUAGCCGGCCUGAGAGGGUGACCGGCCACAUUGGGACUGAGAUACGGCCCAGACUCCUACGGGAGGCAGCAGUGGGGAAUAUUGCACAAUGGGCGGAAGCCUGAUGCAGCAACGCCGCGUGCGGGAUGACGGCCUUCGGGUUGUAAACCGCUUUCGCCUGUGACGAAGCGUGAGUGACGGUAAUGGGUAAAGAAGCACCGGCUAACUACGUG
rnacentral:rRNA from 1 species